rnacentral:rRNA from 1 species
AUUGAACGCUGGCGGCAGGCCUAACACAUGCAAGUCGAGCGGAUGAAGGGAGCUUGCUCCUGGAUUCAGCGGCGGACGGGUGAGUAAUGCCUAGGAAUCUGCCUGGUAGUGGGGGAUAACGUCCGGAAACGGGCGCUAAUACCGCAUACGUCCUGAGGGAGAAAGUGGGGAAUCUUCGGACCUCACGCUAUCGGAUGAGCCUAGGUCGGAUUAGCUAGUUGGUGGGGUAAAGGCCUACCAAGGCGACGAUCCGUAACUGGUCUGAGAGGAUGAUCAGUCACACUGGAACUGAGACACGGUCCAGACUCCUACGGGAGGCAGCAGUGGGGAAUAUUGGACAAAGGGCGAAAGCCUGAUCCAGCCAUGCCGCGUGUGUGAAGAAGGUCUUCGGAUUGUAAAGCACUUUAAGUUGGGAGGAAGGGCAGUAAGUUAAUACCUUGCUGUUUUGACGUUACCAACAGAAUAAGCACCGGCUAACUUCGUG